rnacentral:rRNA from 1 species
UACGGAGGGGGCGAGCGUUAUUCGGAAUUAUUGGGCGUAAAGGGCGCGUAGGCGGCUUGACAAGUCAAAGGUGAAAUCCCUCGGCUCAACUGAGGAACUGCCUUUGAAACUGUCUGGCUUGAGGCCGGGAGAGGGUAGCGGAAUUCCCAGUGUAGCGGUGAAAUGCGUAGAUAUUGGGAGGAACACCAGUGGCGAAGGCGGCUCACUGGACCGGAACUGACGCUGAGGCGCGAAAGCGUGGGGAGCAAACAGG